rnacentral:rRNA from 1 species
CACGUAGGGGGCGAGCGUUGUCCGGAAUCAUUGGGCGUAAAGAGCUCGUAGGCGGCUCGGUAAGUCGGGUGUGAAACCCCCAGGCUCAACCUGGGGACGCCACCCGAUACUGCUGUGGCUAGAGUCCAGUAGGGGAGUGUGGAAUUCCCGGUGUAGCGGUGAAAUGCGCAGAUAUCGGGAGGAACACCAGCGGCGAAGGCGGCUCACUGGACCGGUACUGACGCUGAUGCGCGAAAGCGUGGGGAGCAAACAGG